rnacentral:lncRNA from 7 species
CUUCUGUAUAAGUAACCAUUUACUACAGUUAGCAAAUUAUGAAACCAAAUGAUGAUUUCUGCCUAGUAAUGGUAAUGAUAAAUUCUGUACAGGAAAUAAUACACUUACGAAGUGUUGAAGAAAGCACUGCUCCUGAAACCAAAUGAAGAUUUAUGCCUAGUAAUGGUUAUGAAAAAAUAUGGAUAGGAAAUAAUCUACUUACGAAGUGUUGAAGCAAGCCUUGCUCCAAUGGCAAGAUAAACGAAGUUCAUUAUCGCCUGGGAAUAGGAAACAUGACAUUGUUCAGUAAGAAAAAGAAAACAAAGCCACCUACGGAUGCACGGGGCAGAAUAUGCUGUGCGGUGGGAAGGGCGGGGGCA